rnacentral:tRNA from 1 species
GGGGUUGUGACUCAGUGGUAGAGCACUAGCCUGACAUGUGUGAGGCACUGAGUUCGAUCCUCAGCACCACA